GACGAACGCUGGCGGCGUGCUUAACACAUGCAAGUCGAACGGAAAGGCCCUUCGGGGUACUCGAGUGGCGAACGGGUGAGUAACACGUGGGUGAUCUGCCCUGCACUUUGGGAUAAGCCUGGGAAACUGGGUCUAAUACCGAAUAGGACCACGCGCUUCAUGGGGUGUGGGGGAAAGCUUUUGCGGUGUGGGAUGGGCCCGCGGCCUAUCAGCUUGUUGGUGGGGUAAUGGCCUACCAAGGCGACGACGGGUAGCCGGCCUGAGAGGGUGACCGGCCACACUGGGACUGAGAUACGGCCCAGACUCCUACGGGAGGCAGCAGUGGGGAAUAUUGCACAAUGGGCGCAAGCCUGAUGCAGCGACGCCGCGUGAGGGAUGACGGCCUUCGGGUUGUAAACCUCUUUCAAUAGGGACGAAGCGCAAGUGACGGUACCUAUAGAAGAAGCACCGGCCAACUACGUG
rnacentral:rRNA from 1 species